rnacentral:rRNA from 1 species
GCCUUCCCGGUGAGUCUGCGGGCUUAAACGGACGCGGUAAAGCGUGCUAAGGUAGCUAAAUUAUGGCCUAUUAAUUGUAGGUCCUGUGAAUGGUUUGACGAGUCUUCAACUGUCUCUAGUUUUUUUGGUGAACUUGAAUUGGAUGUGCAAAUGCUUCCAUGGGUAAGAAAGACGAGAAGACCCCGUGAAGUUAGAAAUUUUGGUUGUUGGUGAGCUUUGUUGGGUGAAGGUUAGGCCACUUUAAGUGGUUUGAAAGAAAAGUGAACAGCGAUAGUUUUGGCUGGGGCAGCAAAGAAGCAAGGUUAGACUUCUUUAGUUUAAGGACAGGUGUGUGACGACCCACAAGUUUGUUGGUGUGAUUAGCAGAAGAAGUUACUCCGGGGAUAACA